rnacentral:rRNA from 1 species
CCUACGGGAGGCAGCAGUGAGGAAUAUUGGUCAAUGGGCGAGAGCCUGAACCAGCCAAGUCGCGUGAAGGAUGACGGCCCUACGGGUUGUAAACUUCUUUUGUCAGGGAGCAAUUGGGUCCACGCGUGGGCUUAGCGAGAGUACCUGAAGAAAAAGCAUCGGCAAACACCGUGCCAGCAGCCGCGGUAUUACGGGGGAUGCGAGGGUUAUCGGGAUUUAUUGGGUUUAAAGGGUGCGUGGGCGGAAUAUCAAGUCGGCGUUAAAAAUCCGGGGCUAACCCCCGUAGUGCCGUUGAAACUGGUGUUCUUGAGUGAGGGAGAGGUAUGCGGAAUGCGUGGUGUAGCGGUGAAAUGCAUAGAUAUCACGAAGAACUCCGAUGGCGAAGGCAGCAUACCGGCGCCCAACUGACGCUGAGGCACGAAAGCGUGGGUAUCGAACAGGAUUAGAUACCCGAGUAGUC